CCAAAGAUGACGGUGAAACUCCGCCCCCUACUA
rnacentral:tRNA from 1 species